UACGUAGGUGACCAGCGUUGUCCGGAUUUACUGGGCGUAAAGAGCGCGCAGGCGGUCGUUCAAGUCGAGUGUGAAAGCCCCCGGCUCAACUGGGGAGGGUCACUCGAUACUGAUCGACUUGAAGGCAGGAGAGGGAAGCGGAAUUCCCGGUGUAGUGGUGAAAUGCGUAGAUAUCGGGAGGAACACCAGUGGCGAAGGCGGUUGCCUGGGGCUUUGCUGGACGCUGAUGCGCGAAAGGCGUGGGGACAAACAGGG
rnacentral:rRNA from 1 species